CUCAGGUGUUGUUGGGUAGGGGAGCGUUCUGUAAGCCUGCGAAGGUGGCCUGUGAGGGUUGCUGGAGGUAUCAGAAGUGCGAAUGCUGACAUAAGUAACGAUAAAGCGGGUGAAAAGCCCGCUCGCCGGAAGACCAAGGGUUCCUGUCCAACGUUAAUCGGGGCAGGGUGAGUCGACCCCUAAGGCGAGGCCGAAAGGCGUAGUCGAUGGGAAACGGGUUAAUAUUCCCGUACUUGGUGUUACUGCGAAGGGGGGACGGAGAAGGCUAUGUUGGCCGGGCGACGGUUGUCCCGGUUUAAGCGUGUAGGUGUGUGUUCCAGGUAAAUCCGGUUCACUUUAACACUGAGGCGUGA
rnacentral:rRNA from 1 species